rnacentral:rRNA from 1 species
UCUCCUACGGGAGGCAGCAGUGAGGAAUAUUGGUCAAUGGUCGGGAGACUGAACCAGCCAAGCCGCGUGAGGGAGGAAGGUACAGAGUAUCGUAAACCUCUUUUGUCGGGGAGCAAAAAGGCCUCGUGAGGCCACAAGUGAGAGUACCCGAAGAAAAAGCAUCGGCUAACUCCGUGCCAGCAGCCGCGGUAAUACGGAGGAUGCGAGCGUUAUCCGGAUUUAUUGGGUUUAAAGGGUGCGUAGGCGGACUGGAAAGUCAGCGGUAAAAUCGAGAGGCUCAACCUCUUUCCGCCGUUGAAACUGUC